rnacentral:rRNA from 1 species
UACGUAGGGACCAAGCGUUGUUCGGAUUUACUGGGCGUAAAGGGCGCGUAGGCGGCGCGGUAAGUCACUUGUGAAAUCUCUGAGCUUAACUCAGAACGGCCAAGUGAUACUGCAGUGCUAGAGUGCAGAAAGGGCAAUCGGAAUUCUUGGUGUAGCGGUGAAAUGCGUAGAUAUCAAGAGGAACACCUGAGGCGAAGGCGGGUUGCUAGGCUGACACUGACGCUGAGUGCGCGAAAGCGUGGGGAGCGAACAGG